AACAAAACACCAAAUUGAUCUCCAGAUCAAAGUCUUAUUGCUGCAUUCCGCAAGCGCAACUCAAAUUGUAUCUUUCUAAAGAUAUUACUCGCCAGAAUGCCUCUAUUUUUCAUGUCAGCCCUGGUAUGUAUAUUAUAAUUUUACUGUAGUGUAGGACGUAUUAAAUUAAAAUGAAUUAUACACCGAUUUACUUCAGAUUUUUAUGGGGGUUUUUACUGGGUCAAGGAAAUUAUUGACAAGCAGAAUUCAAAUACAAAAAAUAAUGAAAAAUGAAAAAAAAACGCUCCAAAUUUUUG